rnacentral:lncRNA from 1 species
CUGAAAUGUUUAUUAUCUGUUUUAAAAGAAAUGUUUUAUUGUUAGAAAAGUGAAUUUAUUUCACACCUUAUGUUCUUGUUCUUUCUGCUUCUGUGGGAUGAUGGAUAAAGGUGGAAGGCUACAGAUCAGACUCCCUGAGGCUGUUGCAAGAGGCUCUACAGAUGAACCAAAGUGAAACCAGCCCUUCCUCCCCCAGUCCCACCCACGGUGAGCACUGCAAUGCUUUGUUUGGGAAAACGGCUAAUAAUUUCUUUGUGAUUGUGAACAUGAACGGGUAAAGGAAUAGUUCACUUGAAGAACACAAUUUUGUCAUUAGGUACUCACCUUUGUGUUGUUUUUUUUUUCAGUGAAACACGAGGAGAAAUUUUGAAAACUGUACAAAUUUUUUCAUACAUCAACAGUAUAUUGGGCCCACGACUGUCAAGUUCCAAAAAAAGAAGUCAGUGGGAACACCGAAACUGCUUGGUUAUAGGGACGCGGGAAGUAGGGGUGCUGAGGGGGCUGCAGCACCCCCUGUUUUCACAUGGUUGCAAAUGCAACGCCAAGUUUGUUCAUUUAAAUUUAUUCAGUUUUAGCAUUUAAUAAUUUAUUUGUAAUGAUCUCUGAAAUGUAAAUUGUAAGUGGGCUAUAAUAAACCCAUGUUUAUCUUUAUAAUCUUUAUGAUUAAUUUUACUUGUGAUGUUUUCUAUAUGGGAUGAUUAGCCUAAUCCUCAUGAACACGUGACGCUAGCCCAGCCUAUGCAACAGGUUUGGAAGGGUGAAAUGGGCCCUGCUUCUGCUGGUCCUGAAUCUGCUGCUGCUGAAGUGUGGGAGGAGCAGCCGGCCUUGUCAGAGGAACCAGUGACCGGUGGAGAUGAGCUCAGCGGACUGGAGACGGCCCUCAAGGCAGAGCGCGAACGUGAGGAAGCGGAGUCUGGCCUGGGCAGCCCGUCUCAGGAGACGUGUGGAUCUGAAGGCGUGGCGUUCAUCGGACUUGACGGUUUAUGUAGCUCUCAGCAGGCAAUGUCGUCCUCGUCACAUAGAGCAGACCCUGCUGAACUACAACUCCCAUCAGCCCCUAGCAACAAAGAAGAGGAAGAGGAGU